rnacentral:rRNA from 1 species
AGAGUUUGAUCCUGGCUCAGAUUGAACGCUGGCGGCACGCUUAACACAUGCAAGUCGAACGGCAGCGGGAGAAAGCUUGCUUUCUUGCCGGCGAGUGGCGGACGGGUGAGUAAUGCGUAGGAACCUACCCUGAAGAGGGGGAUAACCCGAGGAAACUCGGGCUAAAACCGCAUAAUAUUCUUAGGAAGAAAGGCGGCUAUCAGCUUGCUGGUAGCUGUUGCUUUAGGAGGGGCCUACGUUAGAUUAGCUUGUUGGUGGGGUAAAGGCCUACCAAGGCGAUGAUCUAUAGCUGUUCUGAGAGGAAGAUCAGCCACACUGGGACUGAGACACGGCCCAGACUCCUACGGGAGGCAGCAGUGGGGAAUCUUGGACAAUGGGGGAAACCCUGAUCCAGCGAUGCCGCGUGUGUGAAGAAGGCCUGAGGGUUGUAAAGCACUUUUAAUGGGGAGAAAUAGCUUCAUGUAAAUAGCAUGAAGUCGUGAUGUUACCCAUAGAAUAAGCACCGGCAAACUCUGUGCCAGCAGCCGCGGUAAUACAGAGGGUGCGAGCGUUAAUCGGAAUGACUGGGCGUAAAGGGCACGUAGGCGGUAGGACAAGUUAGAUGUGAAAUCCCAGGGCUUAACCUUGGAACUGCAUCUAAAACUGUUUUACUAGAGUUCACUAGAGGGGGGCGGAAUUUCCGGUGUAGCGGUGAAAUGCGUAGAUAUCGGAAGGAACACCAGUGGCGAAGGCGGCCUUCUGGAGUUGAACUGACGCUAAGGUGCGAAAGCGUGGGGAGCAAACGGGAUUAGAUACCCCGGUAGUCCACGCUGUAAACGAUGAGUACUAGCUGUUGGGACGCGACGACAUCUUAGUAGCGUAGUUAACGCGAUAAGUACUCCGCCUGGGGAUUACGGCCGCAAGGCUAAAACUCAAAGGAAUUGACGGGGGCCCGCACAAGCGGUGGAACAUGUGGUUUAAUUCGAUGCAACGCGAAGAACCUUACCUACUCUUGACAUCUAUGGAACAUCUGAGAGAUCAGUCGGUGCCGGAAACGGAACCAUAAGACAGGUGCUGCAUGGCUGUCGUCAGCUCGUGUCGUGAGAUGUUGGGUUAAGUCCCGUAACGAGCGCAACCCUUGUCCUUAGUUGCCAGCACAUUAUGGUGGGGACUCUAAGGAGACUGCCGGUGAUAAGCCGGAGGAAGGUGGGGACGACGUCAAGUCAUCAUGGCCUUUAUGAGUAGGGCUACACACGUGUUACAAUGGGCAGUACAGAGGGAGGCAAAGCUGUGAGGCGGAGCGGAACUCAGAAAACUGUUCGUAGUCCGGAUUGAAGUCUGCAAUUCGACUUCAUGAAGUUGGAAUCGCUAGUAAUCGCGAAUCAGAAUGUCGCGGUGAAUACGUUCCCGGGCCUUGUACACACCGCCCGUCACACCAUGGGAGUGGGUUGCAAAAGAAGUGGGUAGCUUAACAUUGGGCGCUCACCACUUUGUGAUUCAUGACUGGGGUGAAGUCGUAACAAGGUA